rnacentral:rRNA from 1 species
UACGUAGGGCGCAAGCGUUGUCCGGAAUUAUUGGGGCGUAAAGAGCUCGUAGGCGGCCUGUUGCGUCCGCUGUGAAAUCCCGGGGCUCAACCCCGGGCCGUGCAGUGGAAUACGGGGCUGCUAGAGGCAGGCAGGGGGAGAACGGAAUUCCUGGUGUAGCGGUGAAAUGCGCAGAUAUCAGGAGGAACACCGGUGGCGAAGGCGGUUCUCUGGGCCUGUACUGACGCUGAGGAGCGAAAGCGUGGGGAGCGAACAGGG